GAUGAAGAACGUAGCGAAAUGCGAUACGUAAUGUGAAUUGCAGAAUUCAGUGAAUCAUCGAAUCUUUGAACGCACAUUGCGCCCGCCAGUAUUCUGGCGGGCAUGCCUGUCCGAGCGUCAUUUCAACCCUCGAACCCCUCCGGGGGUCCGGCGUUGGGGAUCGGGAACCCCUAAGACGGGAUCCCGGCCCCGAAAUACAGUGGCGGUCUCGCCGCAGCCUCUCAUGCGCAGUAGUUUGCACAACUCGCACCGGGAGCGCGGCGCGUCCACGUCCGUAAAACACCCAACUUCUGAAAUGUUGACCUCGGAUCAGGUAGGAAUACCCGCUGAACUUAAGCAUAUCAAUAAGCGGAGGA
rnacentral:misc_RNA from 1 species